GCGGCCGUAGCUCAGCGGGAGAGCGCCCGGCUGAAGACAGCUCGCAGAGCCUUCAACGGGCGGGCCCGGGUUCAAAUCCCGGCGGCCGCACCA
rnacentral:tRNA from 1 species